UCCAGACUCCUACGGGAGGCAGCAGUGGGGCCUCUUUCACAAUGGUUGCCCCCCUGAUUCAGCCCCGCCGCGUUUGUGCAGGAGUGCUUCUGCAUGUAAAUCCCUCUCGGCAGGGACGCAGCAAGACGGUCCCUGACUAAGAAGCCCCGGCGAACUACGUGCCAGCAGCCGCGGGAAUACGUAGGGGGCGAGCGUUAUCCGGAUUCACUGGGUGUAAAGGGAGCGGAGACGGCCAUGCAAGCCAGGGGUGAAAGCCCGGGGCCCAACCCCGGGACUGCCCUUGGAACUGCAUGGCUGGAGUGCGGGAGGGGCAGGCGGAAUUCCUGGUGUAGCGGUGAAAUGCGUAGAUAUCAGGAGGAACACCGGCGGCGAAGGCGGCCUGCUGGACCGCGACUGACGUUGAGGCUCGAAAGCGUGGGGAGCAAACAGGAUUAGAUACCCCGGUA
rnacentral:rRNA from 1 species